CAACCAGCUUCUCUCCACCCAGAAAGGUGGGUCACAGGCCUGAGGCCUCUCCCGACAUGGGAAGGGGGGGGCUCCUGUGAACAUGAAGGAGUUGUACCUGCCUUUGGCAGGUGGACUGUCUGUCAGUGAGUUGAUAAGAACAGAUCCAAACAAUUCCUCAAAUGUUGAUGAGCCUUCAAUGAGGUUGGGAGCAGAUACCUGGAGAAACAUGGUAGGUGGAGGGCCAUUCUCAGGGCUGUGAUCAAUUAAAGCAGAAAUGGGACUUGAAGUCCUACUGGGACACAUAUCAUAAAGGAGAGCAGGAAGCUAGAGGGAAUUUCCGAAGAUGCAGAGCUAUAGAAAUAUGUAGAUGAAUUAAAGUAAUAUACACAUUUAUGAAGAUUAACUUCGCAAUGAAGUAUAGAUAAAACUGCACACUGUUUACAGAUGGGUUACAACAAUUGUGAGGCUGAUGCCCAUUAAGCCGGAUGGGUCUCCCUGUUGUGAACUGUUCACUUAGGUUCAUUUCUGAUUUGAGCCUCUGGGGGAAGGGGCGUGGCCCCUGAGUGACAAGUUGGCUCUGGGGCCUGGCAUGGACAGUGACAUAUCAGAAGGACUCCCUGGAGAGCCCCUCUCCCCUCUCAUCCACACUCAGACCAGAGGGCCCUCCGCCUGCCCCACCCCUGCCAUGAGCCCCUGCCUCCUGGGCUGUGUGGUCUUCUGUCUCCUGCAGGCAGGGGCGGUCCAUGCUGGGGUCACUCAGGACCCCAGAUUCCAGGUCGUGAGGAGAGGACAGAGCAUGACACUGAAAUGUACUCAGGAUCCGGGUCUUGACCGCAUGUACUGGUACCGACAAGACCUGGGACGUGGGCUGAGGCUGAUCCAUUUCUCAGCUGGUGUGCACACAUGCGAGCCACGAGACAUGCCCCACGGGUACAGCGUCUCUAGAUCAAACACAGAGAACUUUCCUCUCACGCUGGAGUCUGCCAAAUGCUCCCAGACAGUUGUAUAUUUCUGUGCCAGCAGUUACUCCAUGGAGCUGCAGGGUCACCUGCUCUCUGUUGAAACAGACAAGGGCCUACAUGCAGGAUCCUAGCACUGGGAACCUAAAGCCCUGGGGACCACGUGCCAGCACUCUGACCCUGAUGUGUGACCUGGACAGGCCUGGAUUUGACCCUAG